rnacentral:misc_RNA from 1 species
GAUGAAGAACGCAGUGAAAUGCGAUAAGUAAUGUGAAUUGCAGAAUCCAGUGAAUCAUCGAAUCUUUGAACGCACAUUGCGCCCGCCAGCAUUCUGGCGGGCAUGCCUGUUCGAGCGUCAUUUCAACCCUCGACCUCCCCUUGGGGAGGUCGGCGUUGGGGACCGGCAGCACACCGCCGGCCCUGAAAUGGAGUGGCGGCCCGUCUGCGGCGACCUCUGCGUAGUAAUACAGCUCGCACCGGAACCCCGACGCGGCCACGCCGUAAAACACCCAACUUCUGAACGUUGACCUCGAAUCAGGUAGGACUACCCGCUGAACUUAAGCAUAUCAAUAAGCGGAGGA